rnacentral:rRNA from 1 species
UACGGAGGGGGCUAGCGUUGUUCGGAAUUACUGGGCGUAAAGCGCACGUAGGCGGCUUUGUAAGUUAGAGGUGAAAGCCCGGGGCUCAACUCCGGAAUUGCCUUUAAGACUGCAUCGCUAGAAUUGUGGAGAGGUGAGUGGAAUUCCGAGUGUAGAGGUGAAAUUCGUAGAUAUUCGGAAGAACACCAGUGGCGAAGGCGACUCACUGGACACAUAUUGACGCUGAGGUGCGAAAGCUAGGGGAGCAAACGGG